AAAAAAUAUUUUUUUGAUAAGGUGAAUCAAUGAUUAAUAUGGGUAUGAGAAAAAAAUAGAAAUUUGAGUAAAAAUGAACCAAAAAAUGAUUUUUUUUGAUAAGGUGAAUCAAGAACAUAUAUGGGUAUGAGAAAAAACUAGAAAUUUGAGAAAAAGUGAACCAAAAAAUGAUUUUUUUUUUUUUGACAAGUUGAAUCAAGAAUCUAUAUGGGUAUGAGAAAAAGUGAACCAAAAAUUACUUUUUUGGUAAAUUGGAUCAAGAAUCUAUAUGGGUAUGAGAAAAAGUGAACCAAAAAAUUAUUUUUUUGAUAAGUUGAAUCAAGAAUCUAUAUUGGUAUGAGAAAAAGUGAACCAAAAAU